rnacentral:lncRNA from 1 species
AAAACAUUUCCUGCGAGUCUUUGUGUUCUGACCCUCAUUAUUAUUUUGGGAAAACGUUACUCCAUAAAAAAAAUGUCUGUGACUAAGUUUCCUAAAUUGUCCUGCUGCGGAGAGAUGAUAUCGAUCAUAUCUCACUGAAAGGAGACUCCGGGUGGCUUGCCAGAGGAGGAAGCUGCAGCUGAAAAAUGCAUUUAACUGAAGACAACAGGUCUUUGUGAACAGUUACUGUCUAGCUGAAUGGGAUUGUUACACUGUAUUCACACACGCUAUCUUACCUGUCAUAGUCUUCGGGAGUUUCCUGUGGCGAUCGGUUAAACACCACGACCUUGUAGGUGAGCAGCAUCCCCAGGAUCGCCAUUCCAGUAAGAAAUAUUAAAAAUCUCUGUAGGAUCUUUGAUUUCGCAAGGAGGCAUAUGUCCAAAUUUGCUCUUUGUUGCAGGGUUCCUCUCCCUUUAAUUGCCAUGGUGCUCCCUGCUUCCUAGCUCUCUGGAUGGGACACUUCUUCCAAGACGCACAGACUUUGGACCUUCUCUUGCCAGCCCUUAUCGUAGCUGAAUAUUGUUUUGUAGGUAAUUAUGUUCCAGCUAGUGCUGUACGUUAUGUUUGUGUGUAAUUAAAGCAGAUCCCUGUUCCUGCUGAAUAUAAGGUGAAUUUGCAGAGUGACACCCAAAGCUGUUUGUGAAUCAUGUGCCAGUGUGAGCCGUGUGUGUUUGGGUGCUAUUGCCAUGGGAAUCAGUGCUGGCAUAGAGUUUGUUGAUAGCGCUGGCAUUUCCUAGUGCAAAAGUGUAUAGCUGAGUGUGAAAAAGUCCUGCAAACUUUUUCCAUUCUCUUAAAUUUGCUUCCAGUGAUCUGUUUCCCUACUACGUGUUUGAACAAGCAGGCGAUAGCUUAUCAGUGUGUGAAUGCCUUUUUUUGUGUGUCUGUGUCUGUGUUUGUAAGAUUCUAAUUCUGAUCUCGCUAUGUAUGUGCGUGUGAGAUCACAGAGUAUGUGUACAAGGGGCAGAGUUAGUAACUAUGUUUGGACACAGCUAGGCGGUCAUGUAGUAAAGCAGUUUAUUUUGGGGCUGGCUGUAACAAUUCUACUUCUUAUUCAACAGAUUAACCAUUUCCUCCUCCUUGCUGACAAGCUUUUUGCUACGACAGAAACAAUUGCUUUAAAAGACCGUUUGCUUGGUUUUUUUUAAUACAGGAAGGAACAUUCUUUGUGCAUAUUUAUCUGUUAGGAAUGACACAUAUGUAAAGUUUAGAUUGGUAUCUGUUACCAAAGUACCAAAAUACCUGGGGUUAUAAAAUGUCACUUC